rnacentral:sRNA from 1 species
CUAUGUAGGAAUUACAUUAAGUAUUUUAUGUAAUUAGAAUUACAUUAAGAAAUUGGGGUUUACAUUAAUUAGAGGGUGCAAUUGAUGUAGAUCAAAGCCUGAGACAAGGGAAAUAGAUCCAUUCAUGUUUGCACAUCUCUAUCUAUCUCAGGACUCUGGCAUCUGUGAAGAUUUCUAAAGUGAAAUACGUUAUCUGGUCAGCAGACAUGUCACAUGUAGCACUACUAGCCAAACACGCCAUUGUGAUCUGUAACCGCAAACUGGAUGCUUUAUGUAACAUUCAUGAGAACAUUCGUGUCAAGAGUGGGGCCUGGGAUGAGAGUGGGGUAUUUAUCUAUACCACAAGCAACCACAUCAAAUAUGCUGUCACCACUGGGUAAGUUAAUUAUCUGGGAUACAGAAUGGGAGAAGGCAGCUUCCUGAAAUCACUGUCCUGUCUUGAGAUGUAACUGAAGUCCUCCAUGAAUUUUCUUCAUGGAAAAGCCUUACCUGGCAUAUAUGUGCAAGGGGCAUCAGAACAUUCUUUUUUCAACUUUUUUAAAAUUGAGAAAUCUAAAACAAAUAUAGACAAUUACAU